rnacentral:misc_RNA from 1 species
UUUCCGUAGGUGAACCUGCGGAGGGAUCAUUAUUAUGUAACCGAUUUGCGAGAGCUGGCGCUUAACCGAAAGUACGUUCACGCCCGAGUGCCCUCACACACAUCCAUCUCACCCCUAGAUGCACAACAGCGUGGGUCCCCCUUUGUCUUGUUCGUAGCUGGGCUGACUUUUUCUCGCAAACUUUAUAUGCAGCUUAGAAUAUAUUUUUUAUUUUUGCGAUAACGCAAUCAAUACAACUUUCAACAUCGGAUCUCUUUGCUCUCGCCACGAUAAAGAACG